rnacentral:rRNA from 1 species
UUGGAGGGCAAGUCUGGUGCCAGCAGCCGCGGUAAUUCCAGCUCCAAUAGCGUAUAUUAAGGUUGUUGCAGUUAAAAAGCUCGUAGUUGAACUUCGGGGUUUACCCAUUGGUCAGGCUUAAUUGUCUGCACUGGUGAGAUAAAUCUCUACCUUCUGAGGAACUUUCAUGCCAUUUAUUUGGUGUGAUGGGAAAUCAGGACUGUUACUUUGAAAAAAUUAGAGUGUUUAAAGCAGGCUAACGUCUGAAUACAUUAGCAUGGAAUAAUGAAAUAGGACGGACUGAUUCUAUUUCGUUGGUUUCUAGGAUCACCGUAAUGAUUAAUAGGGAUAGUUGGGGGCAUUAGUAUUCAAUUGUCAGAGGCGAAAUUCUUGGAUUUAUUGAAGACUAACUACUGCGAAAGCAUUUGCCAAGGAUGUUUUCAUUAAUCAAGAACGAAAGUUAGGGGAUCGAAGACGAUCAGAUACCGUCGUAGUCUUAACCAUAGACUAUGCCGACUAGGGAUCGGACGAAGUUAAUUUUAUAAUGACGCGUUCGGCGCCUUACGGGAAAC